CAACCAACCAACCAUUUAUCUUGUUUGAAUAAGCCUAGCAACCACAUGUUUAUGCCAUGAUGUUAUCCUUAACAAUAUACUCAUGUCUUAUAUUACCUCAAAAAUAUUCAUAUAUAAUCGAUCUACAUAAAUGUCCUUCCAAGCCUCAACGUAUAAAAUAAAAUAACCUGAAAUAAUUUAAUGGGUGACGUCCGAGUUCUCUCCUCCGAUACAAUCAAGGCACCAAAAUCAAGUGACCAAACAAUCCAUUUGACUCCAUGGGAUCUCCGCUUUCUACUUGUUUCAACCAACAAAAAGGGCCUUCUUUAUCGCCAUCCGGUUGUAGCAACCCAAAUCCAACGGCUGAGACACUCUCUAUCCUCUGCCCUUUCCUUUUUUCAACCUCUUGCUGGCCGUCUUGAAAUAACGGAACACAAGGACAAUACUGUCUCGUGUUCUGUUAUAUGCAACAAUGCAGGUGUACUCUUUAUCCACGCUGCAGCCGAGAAUACUUGUGUUGCUGACAUCCUAGAACCGGUCUACGUACCUCAAAUUGUCGAUUCACUAUUUGCCUUUAUAGGAGAUAAAAGCUACGAAGGCACGUCAAAACCAUUGUUGGCUGUUCAAGUAACGGAGCUAGUUGACGGUGUCUUUAUUGGUUGCACAUUCAACCAUGUUGUUGUUGACGGAAAGUCCGUGUGGCAUUUCAUCAAUUCAUGGGCUGAAAUCUCACGUAGUUGUUGUCAUCAUCAAAUAUCUAAACCUCCAACAUCUGAACGUUGGUUUCCAAAUGGUAUUCAACUUCCCAUACGAUUUCCUUUCUUUUUGGAGUUAGAAAAGAAUCACUCUGAUAGGUUGACUACUUCGUCAUCUAAUGAUGAAAAACUUUGUUUAUCAAAUAGAUUAUUCCACUUUACAAAGGAGAAAAUCGUGCAACUGAAAUCAAAAAUCAACAAAGAGAUUGGUAACAUCAAAAUAUCUUCUCUACAAGCGCUUCUAACUCAUGUUUGGUGCUAUGUGACCCGUUUCAAACAAUUUGACCCACAAGAAGAAGUAUUUAAUAGAGUCGCGAUAGGAGUUAGACCAAGGCUUAUUCCACCAUUACCAGAAGAUUAUUUUGGAAAUGCACUUAUAAGUUGUAUGGUUAAAAUGAAAGCUGAGGAAUUGUUGGAGGAAGGUGGACUUUGUAAAGGUGCUUGUGAGAUGAACAAGUUAAUUGCUUCACACACUGAUGAGAUGUUGAAGAAUCACUACGAGUCUUGGUUAAAAAAUCCAAGCUUCCUUAGGAUAACCAACAUAGCCAAAAACAAUUUCUUAGUCGUAGUGGAUAUAAAAUGAAAGGACUUGUUAAUGUAUUUGCUGGAAUAGAAGAAGGUAGUAUUGACCUUCAAAUCUGUCUUCCUUACGAGAUUUUGGAGGCAAUGGGAAAUGACCCUCAAUUUGUGGAUGUUGUGUCCAACUAAUGCAACGUGAGUGACUGAUGAGUAUUUUGCAAGAACCCUAGCAAUUGCAAACAAGAUGUCUGCACAUGGAGAAAGAAAGGAAAAACAACUAUGGUGGAGAAGAUUCUUAGGUCCAUGACUUCAAGAUUCAACUAUGUGGUUUGCUCCAUAGAAGAAUCCAAUGACCUUACCACUUUUUCCAUUAAUGAACUGCAAAGCAAUUUUCUUGUUCAAGAAGCAAGAAUGACACUUCACAAGAAAAAGGAAGAAGAACAACUCUUGAAGGUGUCAAAUUCAAGAAGAGGAAGAACUGGAGAUGGUGGUUUUACUC